rnacentral:rRNA from 1 species
GACGAACGCUGGCGGUGUGCUUAACACAUGCAAGUCGAACGGAAAGGCCCUGCUUUUGUGGUAUGCUCGAUGGGCGAACGGGUGAGUAACACGUAAGCGACCUGACCUUGACUUUGGGAUAAGUACAGGCAACUGGGGGUAAUACCGGAUAGGAGCUCCUGCUGCAUGGUGGGUGUUGGAAAGAUGCGGCGGAUGGGGAUGGACUCGCGGCUUAUCAGCUUGUUGGUGGGGGAUGGGAUUACCAAGGCUUUGACGGGUAGCGGGCCUGAGAGGGGGACCGGCCACAUUGGGACUGAGCUACGGCCGGGACUACUGCGGGAGGCAGCACUAGGGAAUAUUGCACAAUGGGCGGAAGUCUGAUGCAGCAACGCCGCGUGAUGGAUGACGGCCUUCUGGUUGUAGACCGCUUUCGCCUGUGCCGAAGCGUGAGUGACGGUAAUGGGUAAAGAAGCACCGGCUAACUACGUG